rnacentral:rRNA from 1 species
UACAGAGGGGGCAAGCGUUGUUCGGAAUUACUGGGCGUAAAGGGCGCGUAGGCGGCCGACUAAGUCAGACGUGAAAUCCCCAGGCCCAACCUGGGAACUGCGUCUGAUACUGGAUGGCUUGAGUUCGGGAGAGGGAAGUGGAAUUCCAGGUGUAGCGGUGAAAUGCGUAGAUAUCUGGAGGAACACCGGUGGCGAAGGCGGCUUCCUGGACCGACACUGACGCUGAGGCGCGAAAGCCAGGGGAGCAAACGGG